GUAAUGUAACGAAGCAUAUGAGCAAAGCAAACCGGAUGGAUUUACUUUCUGCUGCAAUUCUGUACUGGAACUGGGGUAAAAUUGAAAGAAUGCCUUCGAUUCUCAGUAAACGAUUAAAAAGGGCUUCGAAGUGUGUAGCGGUAUAU